UCUUCUGUUCACGCUGACAGCAACUGCGAGCACUCUGCUUAAUGAUGAUUAUAAGUGCUUCCUGUUGUUGUCAAUGUGAAUCAGCCAC
rnacentral:miRNA from 1 species